rnacentral:tRNA from 2 species
GCCGAAGUGGCGGAAUUGGCAGACGCGCGUGAUUUAGGAUCACGUGCCGAGAGGCGUGUGGGUUCGAGUCCCACCUUCGGUACCA